rnacentral:rRNA from 1 species
UACGUAGGUGGCAAGCGUUAUCCGGAUUUACUGGGUGUAAAGGGCGUGUAGACGGCGACGCAAGUCUGGAGUGAAAGCCCGGGGCCCAACCCCGGGACUGCUCUGGAAACUGCGUCGCUGGAGUACGGGAGGGGCAGGCGGAAUUCCUGGUGUAGCGGUGAAAUGCGUAGAUAUCAGGAGGAACACCGGCGGCGAAGGCGGCCUGCUGGACCGUGACUGACGUUGAGGCUCGAGAGCGUGGGGAGCAAACAGG